rnacentral:snoRNA from 1 species
UUUAAGGUAUAUCCUGAUGGGUCUUAAUCUUGUAGACCCACAUUCUUUGAAACACUUCAUGGAAUAAAUAUGUGUUUUAAGUCCACAACUAUUUGUUAGACCUGUAGGAAAGAACUACUGGAUAGAU